rnacentral:rRNA from 1 species
AGAUUGAACGCUGGCGGCAGGCCUAACACAUGCAAGUCGAGCGGCAGCACGGGUACUUGUACCUGGUGGCGAGCGGCGGACGGGUGAGUAAUGCCUAGGAAUCUGCCUGGUAGUGGGGGGAUAACGCUCGGAAACGGACGCUAAUACCGCAUACGUCCUACGGGAGAAAGCAGGGGACCUUCGGGCCUUGCGCUAUCAGAUGAGCCUAGGUCGGAUUAGCUAGUUGGUGAGGUAAUGGCUCACCAAGGCGACGAUCCGUAACUGGUCUGAGAGGAUGAUCAGUCACACUGGAACUGAGACACGGUCCAGACUCCGUACGGGAGCAGCAGUGGGGAAUAGUUGGACAAGUGGGCGAAAGCCUGGAUCCAGCCAUGCCGCGUGUGUGAAGAGUCUUAGGAUUGUAAAGCACGUUAAGUGGAAGAAGGCUAGUUACCUAAUACGUAU